UUGUAGGUCCAUCGUGGCAUUAUUAAUGAAGUUUAAGAAAUACACACAACAAGCAGGCAGGAUUAAAACCGGAUAUAUAAAGAGUAAACAAUCCACAGAAACUGGGAGUUGUUAUCAAGUUUAUUUAUAUAGUAUUAAUAGCCUAUAUGGAGUUGAUUAGUCAACAGCAGGGAUAUAAAAACACAGCAGAUCGAGUUGAAUGAACUAACUGGAGCUAACUGAGUUAAUGUGGUUAAGAUGCUUGGAUGACAGACUCAGUGGGGCGAUUAAAGGAAAAUAAAGUAGGAUUCUUACAAAUGAGGAUUGCUAGAGAAAAUGUAAGUGCUUAAGUUUAAACAGCAUUUUGUUUUGGAUGAAGAAAUAUGCUCACAAAAGUUUGAUUAAGAAAGACCCGUUUUAAAAUGUAAAAGAGUUUGAUUCGCAGUUCUCCUCCUGACCAGAAGUUGGCGGCAGUGAGCGCAACGCGGCUUUCAAGCGGCAAAAGAGGACGAGGAAUAACGAGAAGUCGGAAGUAAAGAGUGAUGCUCUUCAAACUCCACGUUGACGUCGAUGGAGAGCACGGCACUGAGGUCUCUCUUUGUGAAAUGUCGACCUGGUUUUCUGUCAAUGAAAACACGAGACUGCACCUGAGCGCAGGUAAUACUGGAGAGAGACUCAGACUGAAUGUGAUUGGUUGUCAGCAGGUUUUUAACAUGGACGAUGAAAGUAUGUGGAGCACGUGUUGGUGCACCUGGGUGUCUGUGGGAAUAAUCAGUGAAUGAACUGACUUUAACUGCUUCAAUAUUUCAAAAUAUUAUCAUAUUUUGCGAUGUGUGUAGACAGGGUGUUUAUGUCUGGCCUUAAUGUAUAAAAGCUUGUGCAUGCAUGGACCUUCAUAAACUUAUAUAGGCUUAAACUAUAUAUAUUUUAUAUAUACUGUCAAUGCUUAAAACCUGUAUUCAGUGUAUAAAAUGUAUGGAUUCAUGCUGAGUGAUGUUUGUGAUGAUUGCACAGGAUACAUUGGAGGAGCUGGCCUGAACUGACUCAUCAUGGAGGAGCUCACAUCCUGAAACUCAUAGGCCUCCAUGUGCUGAGGUGAGGAAGAGCAGAUAGACUUUAUUAUACUGAAAGUGUACCGAUUAUUUAAACUGUUCAAUGUUUGAGCGGCCAGCAUUGAAAUAGUUUGUAAUGCCAUAAUCUGUGCCCAUAAAGCACUUUAGCUGCAUGUUUGUUUCCUGUUAAGAUUUUAAUUAAAAAAACGAGCACUUAUCAGUCCAAUAAUCUUAGCAAACAUACAUUGGUCAACCUCUUAAUACUUGCUUUCUGUUACAGAGAUGGAUCCUCUCCUACAGAGAACUGACUCAUAUUGCAGAGGCCUUGUCUGACAACGGGAUUGUUGAUCCUGAAACAUGGAGAGCAUUGAAAUAUGUAUUCAUGGAGAAGUAAUACAGACUCAGUCAUGCUGAUGGUCCUCACACACAGGCCCAACGCAACAAGGUCGCUACAAUGAACAAAGGCCUGAGGAAGGUAUGUUUGUUACGAUUAUUAUUCCUAUCAUUGAAGAAGUUUCCACUGAGGCAUGGACGAAUUCUGUUCCAGCUGCUCUGUGAUGGAUACAGUCAGACACCAUGCAAAAGCCUCGUCUCAUUUCUGCUAAAUGACUGGAUGAGUGCUCCCCUCGGCCUCAUCCAACUGUACAGGAAUGAGUACAAAGAUGCACAAAGUGAAGAUGCUGCUCUGGAAAAGAGUUCAUGUUCGUUUUUGUAUUGAUUCUCUUUUUCUUGUUUGCUAAAUUCUGCAGGACAACCAGCGGUGCUUCUGAAGCAGGAACAUGAGAUAAAUAACCAACUCCACCACUCAUGGUAAGAAUAUGAAAAGUCAAAAUAA